GAUGAACGCUGGCGGCGUGCCUAAUACAUGCAAGUCGAGCGAACAGACGAGGAUCUUGCUCCUCUGACGUUAGCGGCGGACGGGUGAGUCACACGUGGAUAACCCACCUCUACGACUUGGAUAACUUCGGGAAACCGUAGCUAAUACCGGGUAAUAUCUUUAACCGCAUGGUUCAAUAGUUAAAUACGUUUUUGCUGUCACUGAUAGCUGUAUCCGCGCCGCAGUAGCUAGUUGGUAAGGUAACGGCUUACCAAGGCAACGAUGCGUAGCCGACCUGAGAGGGUUAUCCGGCAUGCGAGAGCGGAGAGACGGUCCAGACUCCAAAGAGAGGCAGCAGAAGGAAAGGUGGCGGAAGGGGCGAAAACUUGACAAAGCGACGAAGCGUGAGGGAGGAAGGUCGUCGGAUCGUAAAACUCUGUUGUGAGGGAAGAACAAAUGGGUAAGUAACAAGGCACGUCUUGACGGUACCUAGACAGAAAGCAACGGCUAACUACGUG
rnacentral:rRNA from 1 species